UACGUAGGUGGCAAGCGUUGUCCGGAUUUACUGGGCGUAAAGAGCGCGCAGGCGGUCGUUCAAGUCGCGUGUGAAAGCUCCCGGCUCAACUGGGGAGGGUCACGCGAUACUGAUCGACUCGAAGGCAGGAGAGGGAAGUGGAAUUCCCGGUGUAGUGGUGAAAUGCGUAGAUAUCGGGAGGAACACCAGUGGCGAAGGCGACUUCCUGGCCUGUUCUUGACGCUGAGGCGCGAAAGCUAGGGGAGCAACGGGG
rnacentral:rRNA from 1 species